UACGUAGGGGGGCUAGCGUUGUCCGGAAUCAUUGGGCGUAAAGAGCGCGUAGGCGGCUAGAUAAGUCCGGUGUGAAAGUCACAGGCUCAACCUGUGAAUGCCGCUGGAAACUGUCUGGCUAGAGUCCGGAAGGGGCGAGUGGAAUUCCUGGUGUAGCGGUGAAAUGCGCAGAUAUCAGGAGGAACACCAAUGGCGAAGGCAGCUCGCUGGAACGGUACUGACGCUGAGGCGCGAAAGCGUGGGGAGCGAACAGG
rnacentral:rRNA from 1 species